rnacentral:lncRNA from 1 species
GGUGAAUGGUUGGUAGUUCUUUGAAAGUUGUUCUCGCAUUAAAGAACAGUUGUGCAACAUGUAGUACAACUUUGUGAGAUGGUUUGUUGCGACCAGUGUAGAAAUGUGUUAUUUCAUAAAUGGAACCAGCUUUUAUUUUUGGAGCUUCAAAAUCAUAGUCGAUCUCUUUGACGCUAGCUUGUAUUGCAUCUGUCUACAUAAUUGAAAAAAGAGGAAGAGAAAAAUUAAUAAGGGAAAAUUAUAUUUAAAAGGAAGGAAAUACAAAUAUAUGAUAAUACAUUCAUUUAACAAAAAUAAAAAAAAUAAAAAACUAAUUAGACCAUAUAUAAUGAAUCCAGACCUAACAAAGCCCAUAGAUAAUACAGUUUACAGCAAUAUUGUUCAUUAUUCAGAUCCUCUACAGAAGCAUUUUGACCGAAUUUAUACCUACUUUAUAUGGUUAUGGCCUCCUAGAAAAAUGGGUUCAGUGUCAAUAACAAGAAGAACGUAUACACUUACACGCCAACAUCCACCAAAAACUAAGGGAGCUCAAUAGAAAUAGAUAUUAAACAAAGGGUUUCUUUAAGUGAUGUUAUUAUAAUUAAAUUGAAAUAACAUAGAAAAGAGAUUUUCUUACCUUUUGGUCAACCAGGAUACACUGAAGGCCGCCGAAUUGAUCAUUAGAUCCAAUAAGUUUUGGUCGCC